rnacentral:lncRNA from 1 species
AAAAGCCUCCUUCUAACAGCUUCCCUUCAAAUGUGAGAAGCUUGCUCUCAACUGGUAUGUUAGAUGGUGUAUCUGUCAAGUAUAUAGCUUGGUCUAGAGAGAAGGAGCUCCGUGGUAUUAUAAAAGGUUCUGGUUACCUCUGUAGCUGUCAGUCAUGUAACUUUUCCAAGGCAAUUAAUGCUUAUGAGUUUGAGCGCCAUGCCGGUUGUAAGACAAAACAUCCUAAUAAUCAUAUAUACUUUGAAAAUGGGAAGACAAUCUAUGGGAUUGUUCAGGAGCUCAGGAACACACCUCAGGAUUUAUUAUUUGAAGUUAUUCAGACAAUUACUGGAUCGUCUAUUAACCAAAAAUGUAAAAUUUACUUUUUAUGAGUCUUAGCUUUGAAACUGUGAUGCUCAGUAUAUGACAUUAUUCUUCCUUUGCAUGGUAGAAGGAGCUCCGUGGUAUUAUAAAAGGUUCUGGUUACCUCUGUAGCUGUCAGUCAUGUAACUUUUCCAAGGCAAUUAAUGCUUAUGAGUUUGAGCGCCAUGCCGGUUGUAAGACAAAACAUCCUAAUAAUCAUAUAUACUUUGAAAAUGGGAAGACAAUCUAUGGGAUUGUUCAGGAGCUCAGGAACACACCUCAGGAUUUAUUAUUUGAAGUUAUUCAGACAAUUACUGGAUCGUCUAUUAACCAAAAAUCAUUUCGCAUCUGGAAAGAAUCUUUUCUAGCUGCGACACGUGAACUUCAGCGUAUAUAUGGGAAGGAUGAUGUUAUUGCAGGACCAACUUGCUGUACAAUUUACUGAUUAAAUUUGGUGUAACUUCUAUGUGUAGGCAAUUAAUGCUUAUGAGUUUGAGCGCCAUGCCGGUUGUAAGACAAAACAUCCUAAUAAUCAUAUAUACUUUGAAAAUGGGAAGACAAUCUAUGGGAUUGUUCAGGAGCUCAGGAACACACCUCAGGAUUUAUUAUUUGAAGUUAUUCAGACAAUUACUGGAUCGUCUAUUAACCAAAAAUCAUUUCGCAUCUGGAAAGAAUCUUUUCUAGCUGCGACACGUGAACUUCAGCGUAUAU